CCCUUCCCUUCCCUUCCCUUCCCCACACAGAGGCCACAUGUGCCUGCCUGUCCCCAUGAGUCAGGACUGAUGUGGCCUGAUUAACCUCUCUGAGAUAGCUCCCCCUGCAUUCUUCUCAUUCUCAGUCCUGUUCAUUACUGUUAUUUAAUCUGUUUUAACUUUAACCAGAUGCUACUCUCCAUCACAACUUUCACGGUCCUGUUCUCUCCUUUGCUGAUUGGUGCUUACAUUUGUACAGGAGGAAUGCUAUCUUCCUUCUCUGGCAACUUCUUUGUUUAGCACACCUGUUGGUCAAGACUAUUCACAUCCAUUUGCUUCUCAGGCUCUAUAGAGACUACAUAUAAGUCCAAAGUGAGGUGACAAAGUCAUCAUAAUGUGGCCUGUUUGCUUCAAGUCAGAUAUUGAGGAAGUUCUGAUAUGCAGCCACCAGAAACUUCCGUUAUCAGAGGAAGGAACCUCAGCUUUCAUUAAAAACCUUAACAUUGGCUUCUGACAGCUUGUACAAAUAUAUCAUCUAAAUAUGUUUGACUUUUGUAGUAACCUGAACCUAAAUGUUCAUACUGCAGAAGCUGAAACUGCACUUUCUCAGUGUUCAGGCACCAAGUUUGGAAGAGGAAGUGCUUUGUCUUUCGAUUAAAAAUAUCCAAACAGCUCCGUGGAGUCAUGAUCUGAGAAACCAAAACAAGUCCUUAACCAUAGAUAAAUGAAGGUUGGCUGAUUCCAGUUUGCAGAAAGCCAGAGGAAGCCCUCUGCUCUGACCCCGCGCCCUCUAGCAUCACAGCUGGUGCACGAGCACAAAGACAACUUGGAUGUAGAUGCUGCUGUGGGCACUUUACACAGGAUAGAUUGUAAAUUUGUCCAUUUAUGAGUGUCCUGCGGGGGUUCCCACCAACUCAGAAGACAAAGCAAGGGUUGAAGCAAACAAAGAAUAUCCAUAAAAGCUCCUCUGAUUGCCACUAUUAAUAAAAUGGAGGCCAUAAACAAA